GGGCCCGUAGCUCAAUGGCAGAGCACCAGCCUUUUAAGCUGAGGGUUGACAGUUCGAAUCUGUCCGGGCUCA
rnacentral:tRNA from 1 species